CAGUCGCCGCGGUAAUACAGAGGGUGCGAGCGUUAAUCGGAUUUACUGGGCGUAAAGCGUGCGUAGGCGGCUUUUUAAGUCGGAUGUGAAAUCCCUGAGCUUAACUUAGGAAUUGCAUUCGAUACUGGGAAGCUAGAGUAUGGGAGAGGAUGGUAGAAUUCCAGGUGUAGCGGUGAAAUGCGUAGAGAUCUGGAGGAAUACCGAUGGCGAAGGCAGCCAUCUGGCCUAAUACUGACGCUGAGGUACGAAAGCAUGGGGAGCAAACAGGAUUAGAUACCCGUGUAGUCCCUGUCUCUUAUAC
rnacentral:rRNA from 1 species